CCCCUUAAAAAAAAUUUCACUCUAAAUAAUUUCCCCCCAUCUCUCUUUUUCCCCUUCCCUCUCUUGCCUUUUUCCCUCUUCUCUCUUCCUCCGUGUGCGAAUUCUUCCAGCCGAACCUUCAGCCACCUGCGACGGCCGAAGUCCACCAGCCACGCGUCGCCUCAUCUCGAGAGUUUUGAGCCACCGCCUCCAUUUUCAGUUGCCGCUGUCCAUGGUUGUUCUCGUUGCCCCUCUGUAUUCAAAUCUAUGAGGACAUUUCUCCCUAAAAAGAUUGCUCCCUCUGGUAGUGAGGAGCUUAGCUCAGAAAGCACGUUGGUGCCACUUUGGAUUCCAUCUUUGGGAAGCAGUAAAACUCCCCACUCGGGAAGACCUACAUAGUGUCUUGCUAUCAACAACAUAUCUCUCCCACCAUUAUUCGAUUUCUUCAAUCAACUGAAUUUGCAAUAUGGCACCCUCACAAAGUUCUGUAUAGAAGAAAAUCAUCCUAUGGUGACAACUGGCCACAUGUACAGACAUGAUUCAACUUGAUAAUGAAUCAAUGUUUCCUCAAAAACAUGCAUGCUCUGAAUUCUGGAUAGUAUUCUCUUCAUGACUGUUUUCAUUUUGGCUUUGGAUAUUCAUUAUAAUUCUGGAUUACAAGGGAUGAUUUUAAAAAUAAAUUAAUGGCAGUCAAUUCUUACUUUGCAAAAACUAUUGGUGACGAGGGUGAGUACAAGGACAAGAAGAAGAAAGAUAUGUUGUUCGAUAAUGAAUUUAGUGUUUUAUUUUAUUUGUAAUUUUUAUUAGAGUAAAUGAUUCUUUUUUGAGUAGUUAAUUAUUUACUAUGUAAAUCUAGUUAUAUAUUUUUUAAGGUCAAAACGAUUAUGUUUAUAAACAAGACUAUAUGAUUUUUGAGUAAAGUAGUAGUGUUAUAUUUGUCAAAAAUUUGUUUUA